rnacentral:rRNA from 1 species
GUCCACGCCCUAAACGAUGUCAACUGGUUGUUGGGUCUUAACUGACUCAGUAACGAAGCUAACGCGUGAAGUUGACCGCCUGGGGAGUACGGCCGCAAGGUUGAAACUCAAAGGAAUUGACGGGACCCGCACAAGCGGUGGAUGAUGUGGUUUAAUUCGAUGCAACGCGAAACCUUACCCACCUUUGACAUGUACGGAAUCCUUUAGAGAUAGAGGAGUGCUCGAAAGAGAGCCGUAACACAGGUGCUGCAUGGCUGUCGU